rnacentral:lncRNA from 1 species
UUUCUCCGCUAUCUUAGCCUGAUUCCUUCUCCCACCAAUAAGAAUAGACUGGCCUAACUGAGAGACUAGUAUCUUGGCCCACAGAUAAAUAGAACAGAGGAAUUGAGAAUUGGACACUUCUACCUAAGGUGUCCAAAGAAAACUAGGGGGAACCAGUGGAAAUCCACAAGGGUAAUCAGAACCAAUGACCCUAGAUCAGCAUUAUACCCGAGGGGUAGGAUAAGUUCUGUCCACAUAAUCCUUAGACGAGA